GACGAACGCUGGCGGCGUGCUUAACACAUGCAAGUCGAACGGUAAGGCCCUUCGGGGUACACGGGUGGCGAACGGGUGAGUAACACGUGGGUGAUCUGCCCUGCACUUCGGGAUAAGCCUGGGAAACUGGGUCUAAUACCGGAUAGGACUCCGGACUGCAUGGUCUGGGGUGGAAAGCUUUUGCGGUGUGGGAUGGGCCCGCGGCCUAUCAGCUUGGUGGUGGGGUGAUGGCCUACCAAGGCGACGACGGGUAGCCGGCCUGAGAGGGUGACCGGCCACACUGGGACUGAGAUACGGCCCAGACUCCUACGGGAGGCAGCAGUGGGGAAUAUUGCACAAUGGGCGCAAGCCUGAUGCAGCGACGCCGCGUGAGGGAUGACGGCCUUCGGGUUGUAAACCUCUUUCAGCAUCGACGAAGCGAAAGUGACGGUAGGUGCAGAAGAAGGACCGGCCAACUACGUGCCAGCCGCCGCGGUAA
rnacentral:rRNA from 1 species